GAACGAGAAAGUGGAGCAAUCCAUGAGUAAAGUGGCGACCGGGUGAGUAACACGUGACUAACCUACCUCCGAGUGGGGAAUAACUCCGGGAAACCGGGGCUAAUACCGCAUAACAUCGCAAGAUCAAAGCAGCAAUGCGCUUGGAGAGGGGGUCGCGGCUGAUUAGCUCGUUGGCGGGGUAACGGCCCACCAAGGCGAAGAUCGGUAUCCGGCCUGAGAGGGCGCACGGACACACUGGAACUGAAACACGGUCCAGACUCCUACGGGAGGCAGCAGUGGGGAAUUUUGCGCAAUGGGGGAAACCCUGACGCAGCAACGCCGCGUGGAGGAUGAAGCCCUUUGGGGCGUAAACUCCUUUCGACUCGGACGAUAAUGACGGUAUGAGUGGAAGAAGCCCCGGCCAUCUUGGUGCCCGCAGCAG
rnacentral:rRNA from 1 species